UACGGAGGUGGCAAGCGUUGUUCGGAAUUACUGGGCGUAAAGGGCGCGUAGGCGGCUUGGCAAGUCGGAUGUGAAAUCCCCGGGCUUAACUUGGGAACUGCAUCCGAAACUGCUUUGCUUGAGUCCUGGAGGGGGUAGUGGAAUUCCCAGUGUAGCGGUGAAAUGCGUAGAUAUUGGGAGGAACACCUGCGGCGAAGGCGGCUACCUGGACAGUGACUGACGCUGAUGCGCGAAAGCUAGGGGAGCGAACGGG
rnacentral:rRNA from 1 species